UACGGAGGAGGCAAGCGUUAUCCGGAAUUAUUGGGCGUAAAGCGUCCGUAGGUGGCUCUUCAAGUCUGCUGUCAAAGAGUGGGGCUUAACCCUGCAAAGGCAGUGGAAACUGAAAGGCUAGAGAGCCGUAGGGGUAGAGGGAAUUCCCGGUGUAGCGGUGAAAUGCGUAGAGAUCGGGAAGAACAUCGGUGGCGAAAGCGGCAUCCUGGACUGGUCCUGACACUCAGGAGCGAAAGCGUGGGGAGCGAUCCGG
rnacentral:rRNA from 1 species